CCCAGACUCCUACGGGAGGCAGCAGUGGGGGAUAUUGCACAAUGGGGGGAACCCUGAUGCAGCGACGCCGCGUGGGUGAAGGAGCGUUUCGGCGCGUAAAGCCCUAUCGGCAGGGAAGAAGGAGGACGGUACCUGACUAAGAAGCCCCGGCUAACUACGUGCCAGCAGCCGCGGUAAUACGUAGGGGGCAAGCGUUAUCCGGAUUUACUGGGUGUAAAGGGGGCGCAGACGGCAGCGCAAGCCAGGAGUGAAAGCCCGGGGCCCAACCCCGGGACUGCUCUUGGAACUGCGCGGCUGGAGUGCAGGAGGGGCAGGCGGAAUUCCUAGUGUAGCGGUGAAAUGCGUAGAUAUUAGGAGGAACACCAGUGGCGAAGGCGGCCUGCUGGACUGCAACUGACGUUGAGGCUCGAAGGCGUGGGGAGCAAACAGGAUUAGAUACCCCAGUA
rnacentral:rRNA from 1 species